UGGGGAAUAUUGCACAAUGGGCGCAAGCCUGAUGCAGCCAUGCCGCGUGUGUGAAGAAGGCCUUCGGGUUGUAAAGCACUUUCAGCGAGGAGGAAAGGUGGUGAACUUAAUACGUUCAUCAAUUGACGUUACUCGCAGAAGAAGCACCGGCUAACUCCGUGCCAGCAGCCGCGGUAAUACGGAGGGUGCAAGCGUUAAUCGGAAUUACUGGGCGUAAAGCGCACGCAGGCGGUUUGUUAAGUCAGAUGUGAAAUCCCCGGGCUCAACCUGGGAACUGCAUUUGAAACUGGCAAGCUAGAGUCUCGUAGAGGGGGGUAGAAUUCCAGGUGUAGCGGUGAAAUGCGUAGAGAUCUGGAGGAAUAUCCGGUGGCGAAGGCGGCCCCCUGGACGAAGACUGACGCUCAGGUGCGAAAGCGUGGGGAGCAAACAGGAUUAGAUACCCCUGGUA
rnacentral:rRNA from 1 species